rnacentral:rRNA from 1 species
GAUGAACGCUAGCGGCAGGCUUAAUACAUGCAAGUCGAGGGGCAGCAGUCCCGCAGCAAUGCGGGAGCUGGCGACCGGCAAACGGGUGCGGAACACGUACAGAACCUUCCUUCGAGCGGGGAAUAGCCCAGAGAAAUUUGGAUUAAUACCCCAUAGCAUUACGAAGUGGCAUCACUUUGUAAUUAAAGAUUUAUCACUCGAAGAUGGCUGUGCGGCUGAUAGGUAGUUGGCGGAGUAACGGCCCACCAAGCCUUCGAUCAGUAACUGGUGUGAGAGCACGACCAGUCACACGGGCACUGAGACACGGGCCCGACUCCUACGGGAGGCAGCAGUAAGGAAUAUUGGUCAAUGGACGAAAGUCUGAACCAGCCAUGCCGC